rnacentral:rRNA from 1 species
UGGGGAAUAUUGGACAAUGGGCGCAAGCCUGAUCCAGCCAUGCCGCGUGAGUGAUGAAGGCCCUAGGGUUGUAAAGCUCUUUCACCGGUGAAGAUAAUGACGGUAACCGGAGAAGAAGCCCCGGCUAACUUCGUGCCAGCAGCCGCGGUAAAACGAAGGGGGCUAGCGUUGUUCGGAUUUACUGGGCGUAAAGCGCACGUAGGCGGACUAUUAAGUCAGGGGUGAAAUCCCGGGGCUCAACCCCGGAACUGCCUUUGAUACUGGUAGUCUUGAGUUCGAGAGAGGUGAGUGGAAUUCCGAGUGUAGAGGUGAAAUUCGUAGAUAUUCGGAGGAACACCAGUGGCGAAGGCGGCUCACUGGCUCGAUACUGACGCUGAGGUGCGAAAGCGUGGGGAGCAAACAGG